ACGGACUUAGUAACAGUCUGAUCUCCCUUAAAUGAGGCCGUCCGGUGAUACAGAUCCACCAUUGCCAAGCACUUCCUCAUACAGGCUGGAGAGACAGGAGGAAGAGAGAGGGACUGGGAAUGGAGGUUCCUCUCCCAGUGCCAGGCCGGCCAGGCGAAUCAGCGGCAACACAUGAGAUGUGAUUCUGGAGUUCCUACUUCGUUGCCAGGCCUGCACAACGAUGGUCAUCCUACACACAAGCUCGACGAUACUUUUCUCUAUCGAUUUAUUUCACAUAUUUUGUUUAAUAUUAGUAUGAUAAGUUGGGGCUGUAUGCAGAUGUGUAUUAACAGCCAAUGAUAAUUUGAUCCAUGUAUUUAUGGAGCCUGAAGAAAACAGGUAUCGAGUAACUGUUUCUCUAGUCGAUUUUCUUUCGUUUUAACAUGAUGAACUUUAAAGAUCUAUUUUUAUUAAAAUGUAUUGUCUUUUUCAUUCAGAAAUAUCAGCAGUUUUUUCUGAAUCUAAAUGUUUAAAUUAAGCUUUGUUAUACGGAGCUUUAUAUAAGUACAAAUUUAUUUAUUAUAUUCCUAUUUGGUAAUAAAGCAAUGUAAACCAUA